UACAGGGGGGGCAAGCGUUGUUCGGAAUUACUGGGCGUAAAGGGCUCGUAGGCGGCCAACUAAGUCACACGUGAAAUCCCCAGGCUUAACCUGGGAACUGCGUGUGAUACUGGAUGGCUUGAAUUCGGGAGAGGGAUGCAGAAUUCCAGGUGUAGCGGUGAAAUGCGUAGAUAUCUGGAGGAAUACCGGUGGCGAAGGCGGCAUCCUGGACCGACAUUGACGCUGAGGAGUGAAAGCUAGGGGAGCAAACGGG
rnacentral:rRNA from 1 species